rnacentral:lncRNA from 1 species
UACUUUCUAUACAAUAGUAAUUUGCUUUCCAAAAACUUUGAAAUUACUUUAACUUGGUCGUCAAGUCAAGCGAUAGGUUACAAAGUCCUACACCACAAACCCUCUACUAUAUAUAUCUGUGUCAUGUACUACAAAAUUUGGUCGUCAAGUCAAGCAAUAGGUUAUAUUUCCAUUCACCACUUCCUCAAUUAUCCGCAAAACCACAAUUCAAAGCAAACUAUAACAGAAGAAAUCAGUCACCUAUUUUUAUCAAUGAUGGUAGCAUACCUAAGAGACGUACGUCCCUACAAAACAGUUUGGAGGGUCUAAGUCAAAGUUUGGAGACUCUUGAAUGUAUUUUCGCUGAUGAUAAAGUUAAUAUCACCUACUUCCUAUUUUGUUUAUCGCUAAUAUUUGUUGUCUCUUAUGUUUCAAGGUGUUAAAAUGGAACAGUGGUUACAAGCACUCACCCUGUCUCAGACUCAAACUACUUAACCUUGGGUAAGUUUCAAAACAUUCAGUGUGGUGAUCUAAAUAAAGAAAAAUGAUAUGCAAGACUUCAAGUAAAUACCUCUUAUGAGAUACUCAAGAGGAGUGAAUGCCAGAUUGAUACUGUAAUUCAUUUGUCUCUACUAUUUUUCAUCAGACCAAAGCACGAAAGUCUUGGAUUUGAGUCCUACAAAAAAAAACAUAUGGUACUUCAUGCACGUCCUUUACCACUACAUUAUUAUAAUUUCUAAAGCUUGAGCAAUAUGUAAAGCUACUAUUUGUUGCAUCGCCCACUUCAUCGGUUGUGACUCCCCUAAAGAAAUCAAAACAAUAGUAACUACAGAAUCAUAACCAAAGAGACGAGUGAAAUUUAUGAAGGCACCAUACAAUAAGUUCAAGAACUGGCCAAAGUCUGAUUAGGCAUAAACUCAACAACAAGAAGUCUCUCUUUGCCUUAAAAACAUAAGGUUUGCCAUUCCAUAGUUUCUUAAUUGACCCACAACUUUAGCAUCCUCUUACAAAUACAAAUUCAGACAUUCAAACCCCAUACUGAGAUACAAAGGAUAAAGGAUUAUAUUAAGCAAAAUUCAAGAAGAAGACUAUUACCAGAAAGUCAGAAACUGACGAGAAUCGAGCGAAGCUUUCCUUACCGUCUCAAUUGAGAAUUCACGAAAUUGAGGCAAAUCAUAAUGAUUUGAAAGUUGGCCGCGUGAUGAAGUGUUGUUAUUUACAGAAGAAAAAGGGUGAAUUCCCUCAAUCAAAAUUAAAUCUAAGGAAAAAAAAAUAAGGUUGUAAAAUUUCCACGAUUCGACUUAGAUCUGUUUUCUGAAAUCGGAAACAUUUAUAAUUAAAAUAUUUGAUAUAAAAUAGUGAAUUAUUAUAUUUCUGUAUAAAAUAGAGGAGAUUUUGUUUUGUGACAACAAUCCAUUCAGAUUUGGUGGCGGAGGAAACGAUAGAGCCAUAGAGGCGGAAAGGGAUGGAACUACGACAACGGUGGUGGUGG